GGGAGCUGUGACGUCAAUGGAGUGCAUUAGUGUGAUUGAAGUCUUGGAGAAUGACUAUUUCUGAAAACGAAUGUUUCUCCGUCUCAUAAUUUAACCCUAUUAAUUCAGUACAGUGAGUUAUAUACCAUGUGUAUGGUGACUCCAAGUUUGGAUGAUCGGACCAACGUGACUGCCAUGGUCAAGUCCCUUAACGGGUAACCAGGAAUGGUGGGAGGACAAUCUGAAGGUAAUUAUCUUUGCACACAACAGCAGCGUCCAGGCCGCUAGAGUACUCACCCUAUCGCCUGCUGUACUAACGGGAGCUGCAGCUGUUUACUGAGGUAAACAAUGCAAUUGUAUAUCAAAUGAUUGCCUAUACUGUAGUAUAUACAAUUUGUGAUUGACUUAGUGUUUUUCUAUUGCUAUUUUUGUAUAAUGUACUUGAGAUCACUGAUACUCCUCCUGAUGUGGUGGAAGUUGUUGAACCAGAUCAGAAUGCCUUCGAGGACCACCAUCAGGCACAGACUGAGAAGGAUGUGAAGAUUUUUUACCAGGGUGAGACUGAACAUGGACAAAGCUCAGGAGAAACAGAAGGAGAGCCACCGGAGGAGAAUCAAGGGGACCAAGUGCUUCGACAGCUGGUCGAAAGACUUGGCUUGGAAGAAGGACGAAAAGGAAGGCAAGACCUGGGAAAGCUUGGUGGUCUUUCGCUCCUAGCUGGGGUCACCAUCCGUUAAUGGAACGUACCUUACCUCCCCUAUCAACCCCACUGACAUAAAACAUCUGACAAGCUAAGAAAGAGCAAGAAAACUAUCAUACUGGGCACAUAAUGUGAGAUGCACAGAUCCGCUUAAAACACUAGCACUGCAAACACUCAGAACAAAGAGGGCAGCAGCGCCUGGACUUUGCAGUUUCCCUCUUCGGGUCCACCUUCCAAGACUGACUACCUGUUGAAAACAAGUGACAGGCAGAACCUCCCAUCCACAUAGCAUCCACCUCCUCUCUGUUCCACACUACAGAAUUCAGUAUUUUAGUCUGAUUGCCAUAGGGCUAUUGCUCGGCCUCCGACCGCAAGGCACUUCAGAUGGUAGUGCGUACGGCCCAGUACAUCACUAGGGCAAAGGUGCCUGCCGUCCAGGGCCUCUACACCAGGCGGUGUCAGAGGAAGGCCCUAAAAAUUGUCAAAGACCCCAGCCACCCCAGUCAUAGACUGUUCUCUCUACUACCGCAUGGCAAGCGGUACCGGAGUGCCAAGUCCAGGACAAAAGGCUUCUCAACCGUUUUUACCCUCAAGCCAUAAGACUCCUGAACAGGUAACCAAGUGGUUACCCAGACUAUUUGCAUUGUGUCCCCCCAACCCCUCUUUUACGCUGCUGCUACUCUCUGUUUAUCUUAUAUGCAUAGUCAUUUUAACUAUACAAUCAUGUACAUACUACCUAAAUUGGCCCAACCAACCAGUGCUCCCACACAUUGGCUAACUGGGCUAUAUGCAUUGUGUCCCAUCACCCGCCAACCCCUCUUUUUACGCUUCUGCUACUCUCUGUUCAUCAUAUAUGCAUAGUCACUUUAACGAUACCUACAUGUACAUACUACCUCAAUAAGCCUGACUAACAGAUGUCUGUAUAUAGCCUUGCUACUCUUUUUUUCACAUGUCUUUUUACUGUUUUAUUUCUUUACUUACCUACACACACACACACACACAUACCUUUUUCCCCCACACCAUUGGUUAUAGGCUGUAAGUAAGCAUUUCACUAAGGUGAAAUUGAUUUGACUACUACUGAAAUAAUACUAUUUCAGUGUAGAUAAGGAAAGGCCUGUUCAAAAUGAAAACAUGCCAGCCAGACAAGCCAGUGUAUGAAUCAAAUGUAUUUACAUAUGUUUGGAGUGAAAAUUAGCUGACUUUGUGAUCUGUAAGGUAAGUAACUGUGGGGAGUGGGGGCAUUUAAAUUAUAUAAUUUUUUACCCUUGAUGCCUGUUUAUUAAUAAAAGAUGGUAAAUAACAUGAAUUGCAAAGGUUAGCCUAUGCAAAUGAAUAGGAAAACAAAAGCUUAUUAACAGGAAUACAUUUAGCCUAAUUGGUAACAAAUUUGAUGUGUGGGAAAGUCAGAAUCCUAGCCAGGCAUUUGUUUGUCAAAUCUAGAUUAAAUAGAAAAGUCUUAAUGUUUAUCAAAUCUGUAUGCGAUUCUGGGCUAACUCAAUGACAAACAGCUGAAACGUUCAGGCUUCAUGAUCUGUGAUCAAAACAGGUUGGCGUGUUUUCGGUUCUGUUUGGGCUAAGGUUAUGCUUAAGAAUGCAACUGCACUGAAAUGAAUAGCCUGAUUCAAUGGCAUUCUCCUGAAUAAUAAAUAUUUUUCAUCUGUUAAACUGUUUGGUCUAUGCAUAGACCCAUACCGAUUCAUACUUUCUGGUAUUUUGCAGUAGGCAAAGCUCUAAAUUGCAGAGCAUUUAAUAAACCAACCACAUUUUCCUGUGA